rnacentral:rRNA from 1 species
AAGCCUACUCUAGCCCAACCAUAUUGCAUAAACAACAACCACAAAAAUCUACUUCACUGCCCGACUAAAACAUUCUCUAGGCUUAGUAUAGGUGAUAGAAAAGGUCUAACCUUGGCGCGAUAGAGAUUCCGUACCGCAAGGGAAAGGUGAAAUAACAGUGAAAAACCAAGCAGUAAACAGCAAAGAUUUACCCUUGUACCUUUUGCAUUAUGAUUUAGCAAGAGUAACCAAGCAAAAUGAACUUAAGCUUGCCCUCCCGAAACCCAAGCGAGCUACUUACAAGCAGCUAUCUUGAGCAAACCCGUCUCUGUCGCAAAAGAGUGGGACGACUUGUUAGUAGAGGUGAAAAGCCUAUCGAGCUGGGUGAUAGCUGGUUGCCUGUGAAAUGAAUCUAAGUUCUCUCUUGACACCCUCUCCCUGGAUAUAUCAACCUAGCCCACAUGUAGUAUGUCAAGAGUAAUUCAAAGGGGGUACAGCUCCUUUGAAAAAGGACACAACCUCUGCUAGCGGAUAACUAACUAUUCAACUACCCCUUAAUACUGUAGGCCUUCAAGCAGCCAUCAACAAAGAGUGCGUCAAAGCUCCACAUGAUAAAAAUUCAAUAACAAUACGACUCCCUCCCCACUAACGGGCCAACCUAUCCCAAUAGGAGCAUUAAUGCUAAAAUGAGUAACUAGGGGCCUAUCCCCUCUCAAGCGCAAACUUACAUGUCCAUAUUAUUAACAGAUAACAAACCAAUAUCCCAAUUACAACAAGACAAGAAUAUUAACCUACUACUGUUACCCCAACUCAGGAGCGCCUGUUAGAAAGAUUAAAAUCUGUAGAAGGAACUAGGCAAGCCCAAGGCCCGACUGUUUACCAAAAACAUAGCCUUCAGCCCGCCAAGUAUUGAAGGUGAUGCCUGCCCAGUGAUAUGAUAUAUUUAACGGCCGCGGUAUCCUAACCGUGCGAAGGUAGCGCAAUCAAUUGUCCCAUAAAUCGAGACUUGUAUGAAUGGCUAAACGAGGUCUUAACUGUCUCCUACAGAUAAUCAGUGAAAUUGAUCUUCCCGUGCAAAAGCGGGAAUAUGUACAUAAGACGAGAAGACCCUGUGGAACUUAAAAACCAGCAGCUAACUACACACACAAUCCCACCUACCAGGCCCACUAACACUCAAAGCACUAGCUCGCAUUUUUCGGUUGGGGCGACCUUGGAGAAAAACAAAUCCUCCAAAAAUAAGAUCACACCUCUUAACCAAGAGCAACUCCUCAACGUGCUAAUAGCAACCAGACCCAAUAUAUUUGACCAAUGGACCAAGCUACCCCAGGGAUAACAGCGCAAUCUCCUCUAAGAGCCCACAUCGACGAGGAGGUUUACGACCUCGAUGUUGGAUCAGGACAUCCUAAUGGUGCAGCAGCUAUUAAGGGUUCGUUUGUUCAACGAUUAACAGUCCUACGUGAUCUGAGUUCAGACCGGAGCAAUCCAGGUCGGUUUCUAUCUAUGACGAACUUUCCCUAGUACGAAAGGACCGAGAAAGUAGGGCCAAUACCUCAUGCACGCCCUCUCCCCAAGUAAUGAAGACAACUGAAUUACCUAAGGAUACCCAACACUACCAUUCCUAGAAAAGGACCA